UGGGGAAUAUUGGACAAUGGGCGCAAGCCUGAUCCAGCCAUGCCGCGUGAGUGAAGAAGGCCUUCGGGUUGUAAAGCUCUUUUGUCCGGAAAGAAAAGCUCUCGGUUAAUACCCGGGGGUGAUGACGGUACCGGGAGAAUAAGCCCCGGCUAACUCCGUGCCCGCAGCCGCGGGAAUACGGAGGGGGCUAGCGUUGUUCGGAAUUACUGGGCGUAAAGGGCGCGUAGGCGGCCUUCUAAGUCGGACGUGAAAGCCCCAGGCUUAACCUGGGAACUGCGUCCGAUACUGGGAGGCUUGGAUUCGGGAGAGGGAUGUGGAAUUCCAGGUGUAGCGGUGAAAUGCGUAGAUAUCUGGAGGAACACCGGUGGCGAAGGCGGCAUCCUGGACCGAGAUCGACGCUGAGGCGCGAAAGCUAGGGGAGCAAA
rnacentral:rRNA from 1 species